AACGAACGCUGGCGGCGUGGAUAAGACAUGCAAGUCGGACGCUGAUUGCCGGGUAGCAAUAUUCGGCGGUCGGAGUGGCGAAAGGGUGCGUAACACGUGGGCAAUCUGCCGUGAAGUCGGGGAUAACUUGCUGAAAGGCGAGCUAAUACCGGAUGUGGUUUUGGGAGGGCAUCUUUCUGGAACCAAAGUUGGGGACCGCAAGGCCUGACGCUUCAUGAUGAGCCAGCGGCCUAUCAGCUAGUUGGUGAGGUAAUGGCUCACCAAGGCAAAGACGGGUAGCUGGUCUGGGAGGACGACCAGCCACACUGGAACUGAGACACGGUCCAGACACCUACGGGUGGCAGCAGUCGAGAAUUUUUCACAAUGGGCGAAAGCCUGAUGGAGCGACGCCGCGUGGGGGAUGAAUGGCUUCGGCCCGUAAACCCCUGUCAUUUGCGAACAAACCUUUCCACCCAACACGUGGAGAGCUGAUUGUAGCGAAAGAGGAAGGGACGGCUAACU
rnacentral:rRNA from 1 species